GAUUGCUGUGAUGAUUCAAAAAUUUCAAGCUCAACAGACCGUAUUACAAGUCUCUCUUUGAGAGAUCUGUAUGUCGACUACUCAACAGAAUUGAGCUUUC